rnacentral:rRNA from 1 species
UCCAGACUCACGGGAGGCAGCAGUGGGGAAUAUUGCACAAUGGGGGGAACCCUGAUGCAGCGACGCCGCGUGAGUGGAGAAGUAUCUCGGUACGUAAAGCUCUAUCAGCAGGGAAGAAAAUGACGGUACCUGACUAAGAAGCCCCGGCUAACUACGUGCCAGCAGCCGCGGUAAUACGUAGGUGGCAAGCGUUGUCCGGAUUUACUGGGUGUAAAGGGCGUGUAGCCGGGCUGACAAGUCAGAUGUGAAAUCCGGGGGCUCAACCCCCGAACUGCAUUUGAAACUGUUGGUCUUGAGUAUCGGAGAGGCAGGCGGAAUUCCUAGUGUAGCGGUGAAAUGCGUAGAUAUUAGGAGGAACACCAGUGGCGAAGGCGGAUUGCUGGACAGUAACUGACGCUGAGGCGCGAAAGCGUGGGGAGCAAACAGGAUUAGAUACCCCAGUAAA